GUUCUUCUAAAUAACUACUAAAGUUCCCACACCACUUAACUAUUCAGCUCGUUAAUCCUAUUUAUAAACAUGCGCCUCGCUGUGUUCAGAAGUCACAACCCGGCAAACCAAUCGCCCCACGAUUCCAUCCUUCUACCCAGCCCAUGUCGCCGAUUACUUGCUCCUCCACCAAGCUAUGAGGAAAGGAACCACAACUGUUGAGAACAAUUUGAAAGUAUAAUAUCUGACAUUGAGAAUCUGAGGAAGUUUCCCGUCUACAUUUCCCGUGAAGAGUAAAUGCAUAUCAAAAAAAUUAUAAUAUGGUUGGACUUCAAAACGCUACUGAACAACUAUUUGUGAAUUUAGCUCUAAAUGGAAACAAUUUAUUGUUAACAACAUUUUUUAUUUCAGUUUUUUCUGCUUAACGUAACAGAAAAUCAAUUACGUGACACUGAAUAAAUAUUAAAAAAAACAUGCAAAAAUGUGUUCUGUAAAUAUUUCUGUACCUUACCACAUUGGCCAUUGCUACAACGACUUGCUUUCAGUCCUAAAAUGACUGCAGUAAUUAAACUAUUCUGCCUUUAUUUGUCUUGGUACAGAUUCAAUGCUUUACUUAAGAUUUUAAGUAAGCCCUUAGUAUUCUA